rnacentral:rRNA from 1 species
CCUACGGGAGGCAGCAGUGGGGAAUAUUGGGCAAUGGAGGAAACUCUGACCCAGCGACGCCGCGUGCGGGAUGAAGGCCUUCGGGUUGUAAACCGCUUUCAGUAGGGAAGAAGCGAAAGUGACGGUACCUACAAAAGAAGCACCGGCUAACUAUGUGCCAGCAGCCGCGGUAAUACAUAGGGUGCAAGCGUUGUCCGGAAUUAUUGGGCGUAAAGAGCUCGUAGGUCGUUUGUUACGUCGGAUGUGAAAACCUGAGGCUCAACCUCAGGCCUGCAUUCGAUACGGGCAAACUAGAGUUUGGUAGGGGAGACUGGAAUUCCUGGUGUAGCGGUGGAAUGCGCAGAUAUCAGGAGGAACACCAAUGGCGAAGGCAGGUCUCUGGGCCAAUACUGACACUGAGGAGCGAAAGUCUGGGGAGCGAACAGGAUUAGAUACCCUGGUAGUCCAGACCGUAAACGGUGGGCACUAGUUGUGGGAACCUUCCACGGUUUCUGCGACGCAGCUAACGCAUUAAGUGCCCCGCCUGGGGAGUACGAGUCGCAGAUAAACUACAAGAAGUAGACGGCGNGAGACGUGCCGACGGACGACGACGACGGGAGUAGG